rnacentral:rRNA from 1 species
CCUACGGGGGACAGCAGUGGGGAAUAUUGGUCAAUGGACGAGAGUCUGAACCAGCCAAGUAGCGUGAAGGAUGACUGCCCUAUGGGUUGUAAACUUCUUUUAUAUGGGAAUAAAACAAGGUAUGCAUACCCUCUUGUAUGUACCAUAUGAAUAAGGAUCGGCUAACUCCGUGCCAGCGGCCGCGGUAAUACGGGGGAUCCGAGCGUUAUCCGGAUUUAUUGGGUUUAAAGGGAGCGUAGGUGGGUUGUUAAGUCAGUUGUGAAAGCUUGCGGCUCAACCGUAAAAGUGCAGUUGAAACUGGGAGACUUGAGUACAGAAGAGGUGGGUGGAAUUCGUGGUGUAGCGGUGAAAUGCUUAGAUAUCACGAAGAACUCCGAUUGCGAAGGCAGCUCACUGGACUGCAACUGACACUGAUGCUCGAAAGUGUGGGUAGCAAACAGGAUUAGAUACCCUUGUAGUC